CCACCAGCCGGUGUCUCCAGGCAGAAACGCUUCAGCACCACCCCAAGAGAAUAGAGCGCGGCCUGGGGCUGCGGAGGGACCAGGCGACUGAGUUUUCCGUCUGCCUCAUCCACUCUUCAGAAGCAGGUUACCCUCCUCCCGAGAAAUCAUUAGAGGGCCAAUAGAAGCCUGACCCUACGUCACAGCGCCUGCGUCAUUUCCUACGUCUUUUCCUCCUGGAGCCAUUUUCUCUUCUCACAUCAUCAGAGUUAGGUAAUAGGUACAAGAAGAAAAACUUACUGGCGCCACACCUUGUUUCGUUUCUACUUGCUACUUACGUGAACAUGUAAGACAAGCUUCAUCUGGUGACCAUCAGGCAACAUGCUAAAGACUGACUGAACAGAAAGCUAGAAAGGCCUGGAUCGCAAUGAAGGUGAACCAAGGCUGCCACUGCCUGCCUCCCGACUACUCAUUGGCUCCUAGAGACAGUGAUUGCACCCGAAGCGCUGCUGUUUGUAACAUCAGUCAGUGAUUCCCAACUCUCUCGGCUUCUGCCAGGGACUCACGCUUGGACUCCGUUCCCUUGCUGGAUUCCAGGCCUUCCGUGUCUUCAAGAGAACGAAAAGAACACAUUCACAAAAGCCAUGGAGCUUCUGCCAUGUGUCUGAAGCCUCAGUAAUGCUAACAACAGUCUCCAAAGAGAACACAUCAAAGGCAACUGACAUUGCUGUUAUUACAGAACAACAGAAGAGAAACGAGACAGAGAGAUACCAAACAGCCAAAAGGCUGAUCUAAAUACAAACAUACCAAUUCCUAGAGUACUGUGAAUGUACCAAACACUCCAGUGAAAAGCCACAGAUUGACAGACUGGAUCAAAAAGGAAGAUGCAAAUGUAUACUGUCCACAGUUUUUUUUUUUUUAGGAUGAUAGAAGUAUUAUAGAACUUGACAAUGGUGAUGGUUGGAAAACAUGUACAUUUUUCCAAAAUGGAUCAAACUUAAAAAGGCUGAGUGUUACUAUGUAUAAAUUCUAUCUCAAUAAAGCUGUAAAGCUGGAACAUAUCUCA